rnacentral:rRNA from 1 species
AAUGCCUAGGAAUCUGCCUGGUAGUGGGGGAUAACGUUCGGAAACGGACGCUAAUACCGCAUACGUCCUACGGGAGAAAGCAGGGGACCUUCGGGCCUUGCGCUAUCAGAUGAGCCUAGGUCGGAUUAGCUAGUUGGUGGGGUAAUGGCUCACCAAGGCGACGAUCCGUAACUGGUCUGAGAGGAUGAUCAGUCACACUGGAACUGAGACACGGUCCAGACUCCUACGGGAGGCAGCAGUGGGGAAUAUUGGACAAUGGGCGAAAGCCUGAUCCAGCCAUGCCGCGUGUGUGAAGAAGGUCUUCGGAUUGUAAAGCACUUUAAGUUGGGAGGAAGGGCAGUAAAUUAAUACUUUGCUGUUUUGACGUUACCGACAGAAUAAGCACCGGCUAACUCUGUGCC